rnacentral:lncRNA from 1 species
CGCAAUUCACAAAAGAGACCCUCCAUGUAUUUUUUCAUCUUCCUCACCCCCAUCUUCUCACAAGAAUGGAGCAGCCAUAAAUGACCAGCAAACUCGCCAGAAAACCUCCAACAGCCAUCGCUCCUUUACCACCAUAAUUGGCCGGAAUCUGGCGACCAUACACACACAUACAGCAAAAAAAAAAGACACGGGAAAAAUGAAGGAAAAAGACUAGAUAAUGGGAGCAAAACACACACACACAGAUAGUAGAGAGGAAAACAAAGAGAGCUAACGUAACAUUGAUCACUUUCUUCUUCUUCCGAGCUGUUAACCCUCCAUAAGAAUGACAAAAAUAGAACAACGAAUUCAGAUUUUGUUUGGAUUUUGAUUCUGAUAGUCACUUUUUUGAUUUCAUCUUAGUUCAUUGAUAUUAAGGAAAAGAUUUCGGUUGAUUUUUAGCUUCUGUUUUGAUUUCAUAUUUGAAAAAUGCAAUGAAAAUUCUAGCUAUUCUUUUGGGCUUGGCUUUCGAAACGAGUAUGGGACAAUAGCAAACUAGUGGAGUUUUGCGAGCACGAGAGGAGCUUGAAUCUGGUUUCAAGCUUUGCUUGGGUUUUCAGUUAUUGUCCAUUCAUUAUCUUUUUGAAUCGUGACAGAGAUACUUCCGAGAUCGAGGUAUUGGUUAGAGGUUGUCCGGGUUAGAUCCAUUCGAAGUUUCGUUUCUAGCUCAAGGUUCUGGUCUUUAGUUUGUUAUUGAAUUACUCCAUCGGGGAUUUUCGUUUGUUAUUCACGUUAAGAGAUAAGCAGCAGUAAAGGUCCAUCUCUUAAUUCUCUUAUUACCUCUUCAAUUUGGUGGCAUAAAAUAUGAUAUUGAGUUUUAGUUUAGAUUGCAUUUAACAUGAAAUCUCUACUAUUGUUGUUGUUGUUGCAUUUUCAAUUGGAAUCUGUUAGUUUUAUAUUUGUUGUGGUGGUAAAUGAAUGCUCUGUUUCAUGUGUCAUUCUUAUGUGAUUGACUCCGCAAAGAAUUGAAUUUCAUGGUUGUUUACUUUAUGCUCGUAUCUAUCACUGCUUAUGGUUUGUACAGGCUACUUUAUGUCGUUAGUGAAAUCUGGUUGUCUAAACACUUAGGAAAUUUUGGUAUAACCUUAGCUAUGUGUUAAUGGAGGGUUCCAGUUUGAUAAUUUGGUAUUUUGCUAAUUUUGAACAAGUGAAAUCUUUUGUGUAUGGUUUGUGUGAUAUCUUCCUUCUAGUUGAUGAUUUAUGUUUAUUUACUGAUUAAUUGCAAUAUUAUUGUUGGAUGCCUGCAGUAUCACUUUAAAAGUACGGUUUUCGUGGCGUAGUUGUGACACCCAAUUAGUGUUAAAUAUAACCAUCCCUAGUUAAAUGUUUUUCUUUAAUAAAUUUAAGUUGUGCCAUCCAAGCACUUAGCAUAUGGCCCUCACUUGCUUAAUGUUAAUCCUUUGGAAAUUGAGGCGUGCCAUUUAGCGAAUUUUCCAUGGCUCUCACAAACUUGAAAAUGCAUAGUUGCUUUAGGCGCGUUAGUUUAAUAAUUUGCCUUCCUAAACUCGGGUGCGCAUUUAUGUGACCCAAAUCCAAAUCUCAACAAUGUUAGAUAAAAUAUGUCAAGGACCGCGAGUGCAUUUAUGUGACGUGGUUCAAGAUGUGUUUUAGAUGACAUUGAAUAUUUCCUAAAAAUAAUAAUUCAAUAAAAGCGUCUCAAAAGUUUAAAAUUGCACCGUAGGUUAAAUUAUGUAUUAAAAUCAUAUAAUAGGCUAAUUAUAAUAGUUUAGCGACCAUGCUAUAACUACGAAACUCGCGAAUGACUAAUACCUUUUUCCGGGUUAAUAGAAUUCCUUACUCGAAUUUAUGUGUUCGCAGACUGUGAAACAGAGUCAAUCGUUUCCUCGAUUCAGGAUUUGAAUCGAUAACUUGUGACACUAUAAAUAUUCCAAGUGGCGACUUUGAAAUAUUAGUAAAAUAAUCCCGUUUCAAUUGUCACUUUAUGUUAAAAAAACUCCUUUAUACCUUCUUCCGGGGGUUUAGGAAAAAAAAGAGGCGUGACAGCUCUGGCGAUUGACAAGAACCCAGAAUUUCUGGUUCAGAGUUCAAGAAUUCGAGCUUAGAAUAGUUGUUGUAUUUGGCUUUGUUUAUUAUAUGAUUUAUUACAUGGUUGGGCCUAAUGUGCUAAAUGUUGCUUUUUACCGCUUUGAUAUUCUCGGAAAUGUAUAUAUAAACUGCUACGAAACCCCUUUCUUCUUUCUCCUGAGGAGUGCACGUUGGCGUGACUUCUUUCUGUUAGUGUCAUACCCCAAAUAGGAUGACGUUCAGACAAGUUUCAAAGCCGGAUAAUCUUUUGGUUUGUGGUACGCAGCCCCCCCCUGGCUCGAGCUGUCCACUCAGUUAAGCCAUGUCUAGAAUAAAUAAACUCUGGUUUUUAAACAUAAUAACUCAGCCUCAUAACGGAUCCUUAGUAGGAAUGUUUGUUUGCAUCACGUGCAUUUCACUUAGGAGACUCAAUAGAAGAGUUGGGUCCGUCUAGGACAAGUGUACCAAAAAUGAUAGACCAUCCUGAUACAUCCUAUGUGCUACAUGUUACCUUUCUUGAGGGGUAAAAGAGACGUUUGACAGACCAAUGAUAGUUGAGGGCAAAAUGAAAAAUAAGACCGAGAGGUUGAAGUGUGAAAUAAAGCGAGUAGGGCUCAAUCAUGUUUUCUGUUACAUUUAUAUUAAGAAAAAGACAAAAAAGAAAAGGAUGAAAAAUUAAAAUCUUUAUUACACUAUUUCAUAUUUUUCAAAAAUCAAAAAUCAAAAAAGGUGGGAAAAGAAAAUCUAAAAAGAGUACAUGUUUCAUCCUUUUUCAAAACAAAAGAUAAAAAAAUAUGUCUUCUCUUAAUUAGUUGUUUUUUUGUUAUUUCUCGACCGUAUCCAAUCUACCCAAACUACGCAUACUUGAUUUUCGUCUUUCGGGGCGUAAUACGUAGGCAACCCACAUAGGGUCCAGUCUUCUUAGUAAAUCUUAGGUUCUUGGCUUUGCGGGAUCUUAGCCAAAUUUUGUACCUCUAACCACCUUCUGACCAAAUAAGCCAUUUUGCAAAAAUAACCUCAAUCAUGUCUUACAUGUGUCCAAUAAGGAGUGUUAUUGUCUCACAUAGUGUUGGUUUAUAGUUUCUUCAUACAGGUGUGGAUUUAUCUACCAGAGUUUGAGCAUAACAGAUAUCCUAGGAUCACUGCAUUCAGGAGCUGCUCGAGGUACUAUUUUACGUUUUUGAGUCAAUUAUUCAUGUUUUAGUCCAGUAUAUUAGUAUUCAGUCUUUUAGGUGAUGUUAGAGUUUGUAAUAGUCUAGUUAGGUCUGCCUAGUCUUCUAUUAUUCUAUUUCUUAUUUUGUAUUGAGAAAUGUGUUACACGUCAAAAAACAAAAAAAAAAAAGAAAUUUUGUGUUUUUAUAUUUCUGUUAGAAGUUUUCUUUGAAAUACUAAUUCUAGGAAUUAAAAAAAAUUAUUUGAGGCGGUUUUUCCUUUAGGCAAUGAAUAUCUAGAACUUAAUAUAAAAAUUGCUUUUAUAUUUCCUUUUAGUGCAUUAAGACCAAAAAAGAAAAAUUCAAGAAAAGAGAAGAGAAUUUUCUUUUAGUACCUCUUUAAGAGUUUUCUUUAUAGAUAUUACUUCCAAAAAUCCAAAAAGAUUUUCUUUUGAGGUUAUUUUUUUUGAACUUAAUGAAAAAAUAAAAAAAUUCCUUUUAUUUUACUAGAACUUUAGGACAUUGUACAUAGAAAGAAAAACAUAAUUUAUCUUUUGUUUAUCAUUAGAAUUUCUUCUUUAGGUAAUCAAAAUUAAAAUCCAAAAUAUUUUGUUUUAUUUAUUUUUAUUAUUUAUUGCUUGUUUUGAAAUCUCGCGUCAGGAUAUCAAAUGGAAAUUCAAAUACUUUUUUGUGGUUUACUCAUUAGAUUUCCUUCUUGAAAAAAAGAGAAUCAAAAAUAUUUUUUUUUCUCUUCUAGGGGUUUUCCUUAAUAAUUUUCCAUAGAGUAUUUGUUUCAAAUUGAAAAAAAAUAUAUAUGCUCGUUAAGCUUGAGUUUGGAAUAGGUUAUAGAAUAUUAAGAUUAGAAAUUUCAAAAACAAAAAAGAUAUUUCUUUUAUUUCUCUUUUAUCAUCAGAAUAGUCAUUAAGAGGAAAAAAAGAGAAGAAGAAGAAAAAGGGAACGUUAGUUUAUUAACUUUAUUUCUGAUCUUUCCAGAACUACACAAAGAUUUGAUUCAUGCGGGGUCAUGGUACGUAGGCAACCUACAUAAGGCUCGAUCGAAUAAUUUUUUAGUAAAGAGAAAGAAGAAAAAGAAGGAAAAAAUAAAAAAAGAAAAAAAAUAGGGGAAAAAAGAGGAUGAAAUUAUGGGAUGUGAGAAAUGAGAGGGAAGAAAAGAGCGGUAAUCUGAAAGAAAAAGGGGAAGGAAAGUGAGCGAGCUAGGAAGUACUAGAAAAGAAAAGAAAAGAAAAGAGACGAUUCAAAUGGACAAACUGGGAUGAGGCCAAGUGAUAUUAUGACCCUCGAAGUCAUUCUAGAACCAUUAACUGUUGCUAGGUGCAUUGCACGCAAUGUGAUAUUUUUGAUGUUAAAUGCCCUAACGCUAACAGGAUGACCCAUUUUGUUCCUUUUGAUAUCUUCAUAGCAGAAAGGUGAUUGGUUAUUGAUUCUUGAAGUAGUAACUCCUCUCCAUAACAUAAAUUCAAAUGGCAAUGGCACAUAACAACGAAAUUGGGUUGGUUAAUACCGGUGCCCGAAAACAGUUGGAUGAACAGGACACUAAUUUGGCUGAGGAUGUAAGGAUGUUAAGACAACACUUGGCGGACAUAUAUCAGGCUUGGAUGACUAGGAUAGCACCACCCCUACCACCACCUAGCUUCUUAGAUGUUGGAUUUACCCAAAAUCCGGACACAAUGUCAGUUGAUCCCCCAUACUCUCUAGAUCCACCUGUUUAUCACAACUUUCCCAACCACCCUAGUAGCUCUAUCACUCGUCGUCUAACUAUCUUUUGCCAAAAGUUCCUUCCUGUCAAAUCCAUUAUCCCAGACAAUGAACACCUACUCAAAGCUCAUGAUGACCAAUACUACUUCGUAGAGGUUGCCCACAAGGUUCCUGACUCAUACAAGAAGAGCCUACAGAAUGAGCUUCAUGCUGUAAAUGAAAAGGUCACAAGAAGAGAAGGGCGAGAUUGGAUAUUCAAGAGGCCGAAAGACAUAAAAAGGUCCUUAGAGAACAAGCAAGGAAUGGGAGACCAGGGAAGCAUGGCUUACAAAGAACUGUCUGUGUCCCAUGAUGUUCGCCUGGCCAUGGGAUCUAAAAUGCUAAAAUUUAACUUGUAUGAUAGGUGUGGAGAUCCGGUAGCGCACCUGAGGGAUUAUUGCAAUGAAAUGAGAAGUGUUGGAGAGCAAGAUGACCUGUUGAUGGCCUAUUUCCAUAGGAGCUUGACUGGGGCAGCUUAGAAUGUCAUAAUCGUCAAGAUGAUGGUAAGUGGCCUACAUUGGGUGACAUGGCUAAAUAUGUUAUUUGAUACUUUCAAUACAAAUCAAGCGUUAUCCCAGACCGAUCCUCCUAAUCAAAAAUGGAAAAGAAGCCAGAGGAAAGCUUUAGGGAGUUUGGACUCAGAUAGAGGGAGCAAGCUGCUCGAGUCAGUACCUCGAUUGAUGAAGAAGAAAUGGUUGAGCUUUUCCUACAAGCCCAGGGCCAACCUACUUCAGUCAUUUGGUCCCGACCUGGAAAAAGCCUUUGAAUGAUGUGAUAAAAAUGAGAGAGAUGGUAGAAAAGGGAAACAAGUCUGGCAAAAUCAUUAAAAAUGUGUUCAACAUUGAAAGAUCCCAGUAAGUUCAGAACAUUCAGAACAUCCCAAUAAGUUAGGGUGGAAGAAAGAGAAUUAGAAAAGAUGAUCCACAGGGCAUUCAUGCUCAACACUUUCAGACAACUUUCCUGCUCGAAAUAAAGGAAAUUAGAAGUGAAUUUAAUUAAAAUAUUAUGGUAUCAUGCUCGUAUUUAGUCCUGGUACCCGGUACAAGUCUUAUAUAUUAUUUAAGCUCUUUCGAUAAAGUUUGGUUGAAAACGGACGUUGUUUGACGUGUUUUGGACUUAAAAUAGAAAUUUGAUGUUUUAUGAAAACUUGGAGGAAAUUAUGAGUUUUGAGGCUUAAUACGAUGUAUAUGAUGUUAUUUUGGUGAUUCGAUUGUACGAGUAAGUCCGUAGGAUGUUUUUGACGUUGUGUGCAUGUUUGGUUUUGAGCCCUAAGGGCUCGGAUGAGUUUUAGAUAGGUGCCGAAUUGUAUUUUUGAAUUUUGGAAAAUCUGGUAUGAACAGGCCUGCAGGCUUCGUAUUUGCAAAUCCUGGUUUGCAAAUGCGAACUCACAAAUGCGAAGGCGGGAUCGCAAAUGCGUAACCAGCCCAGGCCUGCCUGGCUCGCAAAUGCGAAGCUUCCUUCGCAAAUGCAAAAGUUGAGCUUUCGCAAAUGCAAAAGUUGAGCUUUCGCAAAUGCGAAGCAUACAUCACAAAUGCGAAGUUCUUCUUUUAGGCCAGUGUUAACGUAUCCGAACAAAAAUCUAGCAUUUACCAUAACUGCAGGGUUCACAAUUGCAAACCCCUAUUCGUAAUUCCCAUAUCUGCAACCUGGAAUUUUUAUACUUAGUCGAAUUUUGGACCUUUUUCACCCCAUUUUCAAAACACAACUCCUUUGGGUGAUUUUUCAAGAUUAAGACCUCUUCCAAAUCGUUUGUACGUUGGUUUUUGCUCAUUUCUUUCAAUCAUUAACAUCAUUUGAAAUAUUUUUAACUUAAUAUCAAGGGUUUUCAUGGGUAAAAUUGGGUUUGGGUAGAACCUAGGUUUUUCUAAAAUUGGGGAUUAGGUCCUGAAUUGGAGGUUCGAUUUCAAAAUAAAUCAUCUAUUUGGGUUCGUAGGGGAAUGGGUAACCGGAUUUUGGUUCGAAUCUCGGGUUUUGAUCAUGUUGAUCUGAGGGGUGUUUUGGUUAUUUUACCUAAAUUUGUGUCUUAGCUUUAAAUUAAAUAGUGGAAUCAGUUGUUUGGGCCAUUUGAAGUCGGAUAAUUGUGGAAAAAGUGUGGUUUCAAGUUUAAUUGGAGUAGGUUUGAGGUAAGUGGCUUGUCUAACCUUGUGUGGGGGACUUCUUCCCCUUAGGACAUGAUGUUUGGUAUUGAAUGCCUCGUACGUGAGGUGACAAGCGCGUACUUGAGCAAGUUGUUAGAAAUCUUUUUUUACUUGAAGUAUUUAAAUUGAGUUUCCUUGCUUACCUGUUCAUUUUAAAUUGUAAGUUUAUCCUAUGCUAGUUUAGAGAAGCAUGUUCAUUUGACUUACUUGCCUAAGUGCUUAAACUGUCUUGUUUGUACUCCGUGUAAUAUGUUUGGCUAGGAUUUUCUAUUUCUUGUCCUGAGUUUAGUAUCAAUCCUAAUGUUUGGGUUGCUAUUGUGUUUUUAAAUGGGGACUGCGGGUUGGCCUCCCUGGAGAUCCCCCUGCACUUGAUAUUCUUAAAUUGUCUUGUUUGUACUCCGUGUAGUAUGUUUGGCUAGGAUUUUCUAUUUCUUGUCCUGAGUGUAGUAUCUAUCCUAAUGUUUGGGUUGCUAUUGUGUGUUAUUAAAUUGGGAUUGCGGGUUGGCCUCCAGGGAGAUCCCCCUGCACUUGAUAUGUUAUGGACUGAGGGUGCGGGUUACCAAGAGAUCCCUAGCACAUGAAAUUGUAUGACUUGAGGAUACCAAGAGAUCCUCAGGAUACCAAGAGAUCCCUGUCACAUGAAAUUGUAAGACUUGAGGAUACCAAAAGAUCCUCAGGAUACCAAAAGAUCUCUGGCACAUGAAAUUGUAAGAUUUGAGGAUACCAAGAGAUCCUCGGGAUACCAAGGGAUACCUGGCACAUGAAAUUGUAAUAUUUGAGGAUACCAAGAGAUCCCUCGUAUAUGUGGUGAGGAUACUAAGAGAUCCUCGGGAUACCAAGAGAUCCCCGGGUGUGGUUUCUGUUGUGAGUAGUAUUUAUUAGUAUUAUCCUGUUUUUCUGUUUUUUAUUACAGUUUCCAUAUUUAUCUUGUUUAGAUUCUCGCUGUACACUUUAUCUAUGCUAUUUGUUUCCUCAUCUUAUUAUUUAUUGUGCUAUAUAUCAGUAGGGCCCGAACCUUUCCUCGUCACUACCCAACCGAGGUUAGGCUUGGCACUUACUGAGUACCAUUGUGGUGUAGUCAUGCCUCUCCUGCGCAUGUUUUCAUGUGCAGAUCCAGGUACUUCAUCUCAGGCACACUACCCUUGAGGCAGGGAGAGCUACAGAGACUUUGAGGUACAUCUGCAGGGUCUGUAGACCGAAGAGUCUCCCUCUUUACUCUAUCUGUAGUAUUUAGCCUUCUUUCGUACUUUUGUUUAGACAAAUUCUGG